AACGAACGCUGGCGGCAGGCUUAACACAUGCAAGUCGAACGAGAUCUUCGGAUCUAGUGGCAGACGGGUGAGGAACACGUGGGAACAUCCCUUUCAGUUCGGAAUAACGUUGGGAAACUAACGCUAAUACCGGAUACGUCCUUCGGGGGAAAGAUUUAUCGCUGAAAGAUUGGCCCGCGUGUGAUUAGCUAGUUGGUGAGGUAACGGCUCACCAAGGCUACGAUCAGUAGCUGAUCUGAGAGGAUGAUCAGCCAAAUUGGGACUGAGACACGGCCCAAACUCCUACGGGAGGCAGCAGUGGGGAAUAUUGGACAAUGGGCGCAAGCCUGAUCCAGCCAUGCCGCGUGAGUGAUGACGGCCUUCGGGUUGUAAAGCUCUUUUGUCCGGGAAGAUAAUGACUGUACCGGAAGAGUAAGCCCCGGCAAACUUCGUGCCAGCAGCCGCCGUAA
rnacentral:rRNA from 1 species